rnacentral:rRNA from 1 species
UACAGAGGGUGCAAGCGUUAAUCGGAAUUACUGGGCGUAAAGCGUGCGUAGACGGUCAUGUAAGUCGGGUGUGAAAGCCCCGGGCUCAACCUGGGAAUUGCAUUCGAGACUGCAUGGCUAGGGUGCGGAAGAGGGAAGCGGAAUUUCCGGUGUAGCGGUGAAAUGCGUAGAUAUCAGGAGGAACACCGGUGGCGAAGGCGGUUCUCUGGGCAUGUCCUGACGCUGAGGAGCGAAAGUGUGGGGAGCGAACAGG